ACUACUUUGGCAGAUUGAAUGUAUUAAAUUUAGAAUUUAUUUAUGUAAUUUAUAUUACAAGUAGUA
rnacentral:tRNA from 1 species